ACUUGCUAAAGCUGUUCUUUCCAUUGGGUGUUCAUUCUUUGGGCUUCAACUUCUUGUUUAUUUUAAAUGAAUCUAAUGUUAGAACUAUGUAUAUAAAUGAAAGCAAUGUGAUUUUGUUUUGUAAAUAAAUGCCGACAAAUAAGGCUUGUUGAAUGCAUUGUGAAUUAACACAGUGAUUAAUUUAUUCAAUGGCUAAUCAUGAUAUGAUCCAUGCACAUUAAUUUAUUCAAUGGCUAAUCAUGAUAUGAUCCAUGCACAAAGCCACAAUCUAGAAUAAAAGCAGAACCAGCAACUGGUGUUAGGCCAUAACCAUAGCUUGAGACACACUGGGACAGGACAGGCUUAUGAUCACAUACUAGGUUUAUGGCAUUAUCAUGAGAAAGAAGGGGAUGUUGGUCAUAUUUAUAGACAUGAUACAAGUUAGCUACUGAUUGAAAACCUGACUAUGCUGACCAUGAGUUGGCUUUAUCAUAGAAAAAUGAAUUCUCUGUUUCAAAAAACCAAGAGCUUGGCGAUAACCUGGAAUUGGCUGUGGUAGACAACCAGGAGAAGGGAACUGAUUUUGUCCGAGAUUUGCAGCACCAAAUUGUAUUUAGUUUCCCUCUUGUCCUUCGUACUCAAAAUUCAAUGAUAAGUUGCACUACUUCUAACAGGGUGGUAGAGUUUGCAAUAGUCCUUAGUUCACAUGGGAAAGAGGCUUAACGAUGGCAACCAACGUUUGUGGGAGACUAGACCAACGUGUGGUGAACUUGAACUGGUGGUCUCUUUUUGCACGCUUCUCAAUCCAGCACCAGGUAUACCCCCGUUUGGAUCACUACACAUUAAUCAUUUGUACUGAAGAUUUUAUUUCUCGAGCAGGACUAUCCAAUUCUACAAGGAAUUUCAGAAUGGAGACCUCUUGAGUUAUGGAGGAAAGCUGCCAAGGUGAGGUCGAGAGGUCAUGGCACCUUUCGAAUGGUACCAUUCUGGAAAAAAUAAAGGCUAUGGGAUCUUAAUUUAAUGAGUUGGUCCCAAGGGAUCCGUACUAAUCGAUCUAAACUCAAGAAGGAUCUCCAGAGGAAAUUGGAGUCAUUGCCCAAUCAGAUCUGACUACUGCAGUACUUGAAGAGACUAUAAAUUAAAUGUAAACUUGCAUUGCUGAUGAGAUUGACGAGGAAGGCUAUAUGGAAGAAAGAGCUCGAGCUAAUUGGUUAGCCAAGGGAGAUAAGAAUACUUGAUCUCCAAGACUCAUAAUCCCAAAAAUAUGGCUAAUUAUCG
rnacentral:lncRNA from 1 species